rnacentral:rRNA from 1 species
GGGUUGUAAACCUCUUUUCACAAGGAAGAUAAUGACGGUACUUGAGGAAUCAGCAUCGGCUAACUCCGUGCCAGCAGCCGCGGUAAUACGGAGGAUGCAAGCGUUAUCCGGAAUGAUUGGGCGUAAAGAGUUCGUAGGUGGUUUUUCAAGUCGUUCGUUAAAGAGUGUAGCUCAACUACAUAAAGGCGGAGGAAACUGGAAGACUAGAGUAGUGUAGGGGUAGAGGGAAUUCCCAGUGUAGCGGUGAAAUGCGUAGAGAUUGGGAAGAACACCGGUGGCGAAAGCGCUCUACUGGACUAAUACUGACACUGAGGAACGAAAGCUAGGGGAGCGAAAGGGAUUAGAUACCCCUGUAGUCCUAGCCGUAAACGAUGGAUACUAGGUGUUGGGAGUAUCGACCCUCUCUGUGCCGAAGCUAAC